ACGCUCUUCACCAUAGCCUCUCUGGUCAUGGCCGAUUGGUGCAGUGCUGGAUAACGGAUUACAGCGAGGCGGUCACAGAGGCUCAGGUUUCAAAGUCCAGGCAGGCUGAUAGACGAGCGGAGGCAGUUGUCUCACAGGCCGGGAGCUCUCCAUCAGCAGGGUUUAAGGUGAUAUUGCAGGGUUCUGCUCCUGCUCUCACCCUGCCUGGCGUCAGCCCCUUGCUGGGUUCACACAGCAGGUGUACAGUGACAGCAAAUCCUGUAGAAACCAGAGCUGAAGACAUGCAUGAUUAAACCAAAUGAAUAUGAGCAUUGUGGAAGGAGCCAAACCGUGUAAUGGGCACUGAUAAAACCCUGGAUGUUCCCUCAAACAUUUCAGGAAAUGAAAGUUUGAAACACGAUCCCGCUGAGCCAACAACCCUCCAUCCCGGCCCCCCACCCCCACACCUACGCUGAAACAAAAGCUGCUCACAAGCCAGCAAGCAUUUUUACCCUACAAAUGAUGGAGGAAGGAGUGAUGGGGUAAAAAGAAAUACUAAGAACAUAAGAAAUAAAGCAUACACCCUCUCCAAAAU
ensembl:lncRNA